UGCCGCGUGAGUGAAGAGGCCUUCGGGUUGUAAAGCUCUUUUGUCAGGGAAGAAACGGAGGGGGCUAAUAUCCCACGCUAAUGACGGUACCUGAAGAAUAAGCACCGGCUAACUACGUGCCAGCAGCCGCGGUAAUACUUAGGGUGCAAGCGUUAAUCGGAAUUACUGGGCGUAAAGCGUGCGCAGGCGGUUUUGUAAGUCUGACGUGAAAUCCCCGGGCUCAACCUGGGAAUUGCGUUGGAGACUGCAAGGCUUGAAUCUGGCAAAGGGGGGUAGAAUUCCACGUGUAGCAGUGAAAUGCGUAAAGAUGUGGAGGAACACCGAUGGCGAAGGCAACCCCCUGGGUCAAGAUUGACGCUCAUGCACGAAAGCGUGGGGAGCAAACAGGAUUAAUACCCUGGUAGUCCACGCCCUAAACGUAUGUCUACUAGUUGUCGGGUUUUAAUUAACUUGGUAACGCAGCUAACGCGUGAAGUAGACCGCCUGGGGAGUAGCGGUCGCAAGAUUAAAACUCAAAGA
rnacentral:rRNA from 1 species